GAUGAAGAACGUAGUGAAAUGCGAUAAUUAAUGUGAAUUGCAGAAUUCAGUGAAUCAUCGAGUCUUUGAACGCACGUUGCGCCCCCUGGUAUUCCGGGGGGCAUGCCUGUCCGAGCGUCAUUGCUGCCCUCAAGCACGGCUUGUGUGUUGGGCUUCCGUCCCUGGCAACGGGGACGGGCCCAAAAGGCAGUGGCGGCACCAUGUCUGGUCCUCGAGCGUAUGGGGCUUUGUCACCCGCUCCCGUAGGUCCAGCUGGCAGCUAGCCUCGCAACCAAUCUUUUUAACCAGGUUGACCUCGGAUCAGGUAGGGAUACCCGCUGAACUUAAGCAUAUCAAUAAGCGGAGGA
rnacentral:misc_RNA from 1 species